rnacentral:rRNA from 1 species
ACUUUACAAUUUAUGUUUGCUUCAUGAAUUUUCGUCUAAAUUAAGUGAAAUAUACUAUUGUUAGGUUGGGGCGACUAUUAUAUAGUGUUUAACAACUGUAAUUUAAAGAAAUAAGUUUAUUUAGUUAAUUGAUCCUUUAAUAAAGAUUAUAAGAUUAAGUU